rfam:Anisakis simplex genome assembly, scaffold: ASIM_scaffold0000041
CAAACGGUCCUCUUUAGGGCCAUCAAAAUCAUAAACCAAAAUUCAU